UGCUGUGAAAACCCGAGGCUCAACCUCGGGCCUGCAGUGGGUACGGGCAGACUAGAGUGCGGUAGGGGAGAAUGGAAUUCCUGGUGUAGCGGUGGAAUGCGCAGAUAUCAGGAGGAACACCGAUGGCGAAGGCAGUUCUCUGGGCCGUAACUGACGCUGAGGAGCGAAAGCGUGGGGAGCGAACAGGAUUAGAUACCCUGGUAGUCCACGCCGUAAACGUUGGGCGCUAGAUGUGGGGACCAUUCCACGGUUUCCGUGUCGCAGCUAACGCAUUAAGCGCCCCGCCUGGGGAGUACGGCCGCAAGGCUAAAACUCAAAGGAAUUGACGGGGGCCCGCACAAGCGGCGGAGCAUGCGGAUUAAUUCGAUGCAACGCGAAGAACCUUACCAAGGCUUGACAUACACGAGAACGGGCCAGAAAUGGUCAACUCUUUGGACACUCGUGAACAGGUGGUGCAUGGUUGUCGUCAGCUCGUGUCGUGAGAUGUUGGGUUAAGUCCCGCAACGAGCGCAACCCUCGUUCUAUGUUGCCAGCGCGUAAUGGCGGGAACUCAUAGGAGACUGCCGGGGUCAACUCGGAGGAAGGUGGGGAUGACGUCAAAUCAUCAUGCCCCUUAUGUCUUGGGCUUCACGCAUGCUACAAUGGCCGGUACAAAGGGCUGCAAUACCGUAAGGUGGAGCGAAUCCCAAAAAGCCGGUCUCAGUUCGGAUUGAGGUCUGCAAC
rnacentral:rRNA from 1 species